CCUACGGGUGGCAGCAGUGGGGAAUAUUGCACAAUGGGGGGAACCCUGAUGCAGCGACGCCGCGUGGGUGAAGGAGUAUUUCGGUAUGUAAAGCCCUAUCAGCAGGGAAGAACAAUGACGGUACCUUACUAAGAAGCACCGGCCAAAUACGUGCUAGCAGCCGCGGUAAUACGUAGGGUGCAAGCGUUAUCCGGAUUUACUGGGUGUAAAGGGAGCGCAGGCGGCGCGUUAAGCCUGGUGUGACAGGGCGCGGCCCAACCGCGGGACUGCAUUGGGAACUGGCGCGCUGGAGUGCCGGAGGGGUAGGCGGAAGUCCUAGUGUAGCGGUGAAAUGCGUAGAUAUUAGGAGGAACACCAGUGGCGAAGGCGGCAUACUGGACGGUGACUGACGCUGAGGCUCGAAAGCGUGGGGAGCAAACAGGAUUAGAUACCCUAGUAGUC
rnacentral:rRNA from 1 species